AUUGAACGCUGGCGGCAGGCCUAACACAUGCAAGUCGAACGAGUGGCGGACGGGUGAGUAAUGUCUGGGAAACUGCCUGAUGGAGGGGGAUAACUAAUGGAAACGGUAGCUAAUACCGCAUACCAUCGGAUUUCCCCAGAUGGUAGUAGCUUUUUGGUGGGGUAUCGGCUCACCAAGGCGACGAUCCCUAGCUGGUCUGAGAGGAAGACCAGCAACACUGGAACUGAGACACGGUCCAGACUCCUACGGGAGGCAGCAGUGGGGAAUAUGGCACAAUGGGCGAAAGCAUGAUGCAGCCAUGCCGCGUGUAUGAAGAAGGCCUUCGGGUUGUAAAGUACUUUCAGCGGGGAGGCGUUACCCGCAGAAGAAGCACCGGCUAACUCCGUGCCAGCCGCCGCGGUAAGAC
rnacentral:rRNA from 1 species